UAAAUUCUUGGGAAUGAAGUUCUCCCAAGGGUUAAACCUAAACCGCUUAUUUAGCCGAUGACUUCUGCAAUUUA
rnacentral:ncRNA from 2 species